rnacentral:rRNA from 1 species
CAGUCGCCGCGGGAAUACAGAGGGUGCGAGCGUUAAUCGGAUUUACUGGGCGUAAAGCGUGCGUAGGCGGCUUCUUAAGUCGGAUGUGAAAUCCCUGAGCUUAACUUAGGAAUUGCAUUCGAUACUGGGAAGCUAGAGUAUGGGAGAGGAUGGUAGAAUUCCAGGCGUAGCGGUGAAAUGCGUAGAGAUCUGGAGGAAUACCGAUGGCGAAGGCAGCCAUCUGGCCUAAUACUGACGCUGAGGUACGAAAGCAUGGGGAGCAAACAGGAUUAGAUACCCCCGUAGUCCCUGUCUCUUAUAC